rnacentral:rRNA from 1 species
GACGAACGCUGGCGGCGUGCCUAACACAUGCAAGUCGAACGGAAAGGCCCUGCUUUUGUGGGGUUCUCGAUUGGCGAACGGGUGAGUAACACGUGAGUAACCUGCCCUUGACUUUGGGAUAACUUCAGGAAACUGGGGCUAAUACCGGAUAUGAUCUCCUGCUGCAUGGUGUGGGUUGGAAAGUUUCGGCGGUUGGGGAUGGACUCGCGGCUUAUCAGCUUGUUGGUGUGGUAGUGGCUUACCAAGGCUUUGACGGGUAGCCGGCCUGAGAGGGUGACCGGCCACAUUGGGACUGAGAUACGGCCCAGACUCGUACGGGAGGCAGCAGGGGGGAAUAUUGCACAAUGGGCGGAAGCCUGAUGCAGCAACGCCGCGUGCGGGAUGCCGGCCUUCGGGUUAUAAACCGCUUUGGAAUGAAACGAAGAGUGCGUGACGGUAAUGGGUAAAGAAGCAACGGCUAACUACGUG